rnacentral:rRNA from 1 species
UACGUAGGUGGCAAGCGUUGUCCGGAUUUAUUGGGUUUAAAGGGUGCGUAGGCGGCCUUAUAAGUCAGUGCUGAAAUAUCCCGGCUUAACCGGGAGGGUGGCAUUGAUACUGUAGGGCUUGAGUGUAGUCGAGGUAGGCGGAAUUGACAGUGUAGCGGUGAAAUGCUUAGAUAUCGUCAAGAACACCGAUAGUGUAGACAGCUUACUAGGCUACAACUGACGCUGAGGCACGAAAGUGUGGGGAUCAAACAGG